GGUUUCUUGGUAAAGUAGGAAAUUUGACCUGCCCACUGAAUGGGUUUUGAAGGGCCGCGGUAUUUUGACUGUGCGAAGGUAGCGUAAUCAUUAGUCUUUUAAUUGAAGGCUUGAAUGAAUGGUUGGACGAGGUGAAUACUGUUUUAUGAUAAUUGGAGUUGAAUUUGGGAUUUAAGUAAAAAAACUUAAAUAAUGUUAAGGGACGAGAAGACCCUAUAGAGUUUAAUAAAUGUAGUUGGUAAUAAGGUUAAUAGGUAAGUAUUUGUUAUGAUAAAUAUUUAUUUGGUUGGGGCGAUUAGAAGAUAAAUAAAACUCUUCUAUAUUUUUAAUAUUUAUAGGUAGGUAAAGGAUCCAUUAAAUUUUAAUGAUUAAAAGAUUAAAUUACCUUAGGGAUAACAGCAUGAUUUUUUUUGAGAGUUCUUAUCAAGAAAAAAGAUUAUGACCUCGAUGUUGGAUUAAAGUGAAGAUUGGGUGAAGAUGUUCAAUAACUUAGGUCUGUUCGACCUUUAAAAUUUUACA
rnacentral:rRNA from 1 species